rnacentral:tRNA from 1 species
CAGGGAGACAACAAAAUGUUUAAUAUUAUUAUUUUGUCACCUUAGGUCGAUCGGUAUCUCACGUUUUUAAUUUAUUAAGAAUUUCAUUUCCUAAGUUUUUCUAGGUCACACCCAUUAUUUUUCCUGGGCCAUUAGCUCAGGUGGUUAGAGCGCACCCCUGAUAAGGGUGAGGUCCCUGGUUCAAGUCCAGGAUGGCCCAUAUCUCUAUGUUGGGGGUAUAGCUCAGUUGGUAGAGCGCCUGCUUUGCAAGCAGGAUGUCAGCGGUUCGAGUCCGCUUACCUCCACUGAUUACCACCUCUUCCAUAUUCGGUAGAAAGGAAAUGUUUUGAGUUGUGAUCAAAUUCUGAAAGAAUCUAGCUUCCUAAUGACAUCAUUAAGAUGCUGGACUCAUUGAAUUAAUUUCAUUGUUUUCAGAGAACCUUGACAACUGCAUAGAUUAUUUUUAAAGACAAUAAGCAUCUUUAAUGAUGCAGAUUUAUUAUUUGUGCGAAUGCAUUAAUAACAAUUCUAUUAAGCUGAUGCUUCAAUUUUUGAAGUUAUU